rnacentral:tRNA from 1 species
GCCCCGAUAGCUCAGGGGAUAGAGCGUCUGCCUCCGGAGCAGAAGGUCGUAGGUUCGAAUCCUAUUCGGGGUA